GACGAACCGUACGAACGUUAUUCGGAAUCACUGGGCUUAAAGGGUGCGUAGGCGGUGCGGAAAGUUGGGUGUGAAAUCCCUCGGCUCAACCGAGGAAUUGCGCCCAAAACUACCGUGCUCGAGGGAGACAGAGGUGAGUGGAACUUAGGGUGGAGCGGUGAAAUGCGUUGAUAUCCUAAGGAACACCAGUGGCGAAAGCGACUCACUGGGUCUCUCCUGACGCUGAGGCACGAAAGCUAGGGGAGCAAACGGG
rnacentral:rRNA from 1 species